UCCCGCCGGACCUGACUGCUAUCGGAUUGAUACUAAGCCAUGCGAGUCUUUGUAGUAAUACAAGGCAGACGGUUCAGUAACACGUAGUCAACCUACCCUAUGGACAAGAAUAAUCUCGGGAAACUGGGCAUAAUUCUUGAUAGAUCAUAAUGCCUGGAGUGGUUUAUGGUUAAAAUGAUUCGUCGCCAUAGGAUGGGACUGCGGCCUAUCAGCUUGUUGGUGAGGUAAUGGCCCACCAAGGCGAUUACAGGUACGGGCUCUGAGAGGAGAAGCCCGGAGAUGGGUACUGAGACACGGACCCAGGCCCUAUGGGGCGCAGCAGGCGAGAAAACUUUGCAAUGUGCGAAAGCACGACAAGGUUAAUCCGAGUGAUUUCUGCUAAAGAAAUCUUUUGCCAGUCAUAAAACCGCUGGUGAAUAAGGGGUGGGCAAGUUCUGGUGUCAGCCGCCGCGGUAAAACCAGCACCUCAAGUGGUCAGGAUGAUUAUUGGGCCUAAAGCAUCCGUAGCCGGCUUUGUUAGUUUUCGGUUAAAUCCAUGUGCUCAACGCAUGGGCUGCCGAAAAUACUGCAUAGCUAGGGAGUGGGAGAGGUAGACGGUACUCAGUAGGAAGGGGUAAAAUCCUUUGAUCUAUUGAUGACCACCUGUGGCGAAGGCGGUCUACCAGAACACGUUCGACGGUGAGGGAUGAAAGCUGGGGGAGCAAACCGGAUUAGAUACCCGGGUAGUCCCAGCUGUAAACGAUGCAGACUCGAUGAUGCAUUGGCAUAAUAGCCAGUGCAGUGUCGCAGGGAAGCCGUUAAGUCUGCCGCCUGGGAAGUACGUACGCAAGUAUGAAACUUAAAGGA
rnacentral:rRNA from 1 species